rnacentral:rRNA from 1 species
UACGUAGGGUGCAAGCGUUAAUCGGAAUUACUGGGCGUAAAGCGCGCGUAGGCGGUUUUUUAAGUCAGAGGUGAAAGCCCAGUGCUCAACACUGGAACUGCCUUUGAAACUGGAAAACUUGAAUCUUGGAGAGGUCAGUGGAAUUCCGAGUGUAGAGGUGAAAUUCGUAGAUAUUCGGAAGAACACCAGUGGCGAAGGCGACUGACUGGACAAGUAUUGACGCUGAGGUGCGAAAGCGUGGGGAGCAAACAGG